AGUGGCGGACGGGUGAGUAACGCGUGAGAAUCUGCCUUGGGGUCGGGGACAACCACUGGAAACGGUGGCUAAUACCGGAUAAGCCGAUUGGUGAAAGAUUUAUUGCCCGAAGAGGAGCUCGCGUCUGAUUAGCUAGUUGGUGAGGUAAGAGCUCACCAAGGCAGCGAUCAGUAGCUGGUCUGAGAGGACGAUCAGCCACACUGGGACUGAGACACGGCCCAGACUCCUACGGGAGGCAGCAGUGGGGAAUUUUCCGCAAUGGGCGAAAGCCUGACGGAGCAAGACCGCGUGAGGGAGGAAGGCUCUUGGGUUGUAAACCUCUUUUCUCAGGGAAGAAGCUCUGACGGUACCUGAGGAAUCAGCCUCGGCUAACUCCGUGCCAGCAGCCGCGGUAAUACGGAGGAGGCAAGCGUUAUCCGGAAUUAUUGAGCGUAAAGCGUCCGCAGGUGGCGAUUCAAGUCUGCUGUCAAAGCACGGGGCUUAACUCCGUAAAGGCAGUGGAAACUGAAUAGCUAGAGUGCCGUAGGGGUAGAGGGAAUUCCCGGUGUAGCGGUGAAAUGCGUAGAGAUCGGGAAGAACAUCGGUGGCGAAAGCGCUCUACUGGACGGCAACUGACACUCAGGGACGAAAGCUAGGGGAGCGAAUGGGAUUAGAUACCCC
rnacentral:rRNA from 1 species